UCGCCUGCUGAAAGGGCGCCAGGCUCUGUGUGAUUUCCCGUGCAGCAACCCACUGUGCUGGCUGGAAUCACGUUGCUACCCGGGAAUCUCCUGGCCUGGCUGUCUGUUUAAGUUCCAUUUAAUCAGAUGAAUGUGCUAAUCUGCCUUCCAAAAUCUCCAAUUGCCAGUUUAACAGGGCAACCAAAGCAGUGUAUUUUUUACAGAGUGCCACUGCGCUGCGGCCCUGGCCCAAACAGCCGCGCCGGCCCGAACAGCCGUGCUGGCGGCCCGUGCAGCUUCUACACCUGGGAAUCUCCUGGUCUGUGGGCAAUAAAGAUCCAUUUGGAAAUGCAGCAUCCACUCACCAUCUGCGGAUUCACUGGGAGCUGCAAUCCUCAAUGAUCUGAAGACACUCUGUGUACGUUAGGUCUGCUUCCUGGUGCAAGGGACAACUGUGGCAUAAUGAUGGAAAGAGCACUAAAUACAGACAAAGAAGACAUGGGUUGAAUACUGUCUUGUGUAUGUUAGCUAGGAUUGAAUUCAGUUGCAUGGGCUAGAAAACCAAUAUAAGAGUGGUUUAGUUAUGUAAGAUCUUAUUCUUGCUACGAAAGAAAUGUGAAAAUGGGAGUGGGCUGGUCAGGUGCUUUAGAAGUUGUCUCUGUUAUCCCUAGGACAAGAGCCUCAUUCUUAUGUUCCAAGAAAGUGUAUAUGCACCAGUGAUUAUCGCCAGUUCCAGGCCAGCAGCAGGAAGAGAAGGUAGAAAAGCCUAUGAAGGACCUGCCUUUAAGGCCAUUUAUCUUGAAUCAUCCAUAAUCCUUUCACUUACAGAUUAUUCGACAAAUCUUCUCACAUGGCUAUGCCUAGCAGGAAAAGAGUCUGGGUAAAGCAGUUGUUAGAAACUAAAACAGUUUAAGUAAGCAAGUUGGUAAUGAAAUCCGAGGUGUUUAGUACUUAGGAAUAAUGGAUAAAAAAGAGUUAGCAGUUUGUUGAGUCACUAAAUACAUAGGUGAACAUAUACCAAUUUAAUUUUUUUCCAUAGAGAAAAAAAUCGUUUCUUAUGGCUAUGAAAUAAUAUGCCUCCAGUAGAAACAAUUCAAACAAAUCAGAGCAUUUAAAGACAAAGAUAACAAGUAACUAGAAUCUUACCAGAGAUAAAUUUCUAUUACUUAGUAAACAUUUUGUGUACCUCUUUGUACACACACCAAAUAGUUUACAGACACAGAAUUAUUUUUUACAUUGCUUGCUUUCUCUAAGCCUGCUGGGGAUGCCUUGUCUCAGGAUAUUUGCAUUUCUGAUUGCUUCUAUCUGGAACAUCCUCACUCUAGAUACAGGUAUGGUUAUCUCCCUCCCUUUCUCAGUAUAGCUAGCCUUUUAACUUCAUCAGUGUGGCCAACUUCUUCACUUCCUCAGUACAGCUAACUCCUUCACUUCCUCACAGAGGUGGCUCCUCCUUUUCUUCCUCAGUGUGACCUGGUCCCUCCCUGACUCAGUAAGGCUAUCUCCUC
rnacentral:lncRNA from 1 species